ACCCUCUCGGGAUCGCACCCGGAGAGUUUCCAGUCCUCUACCGCUCUCGGCUACGGGAGGGAGAGUCAAGCAGAGGCCUACCCAUUCCUAGCUUGGGCAGUAGCUAGCGAGUGGAAGGCAAUCUGCUACAAGU